UACGUAUGGAGCAAGCGUUAUCCGGAUUUACUGGGUGUAAAGGGUGCGUAGGUGGCAGUGCAAGUCAGAUGUGAAAGGCCGGGGCUCAACCCCGGAGCUGCAUUUGAAACUGCGCGGCUAGAGUACAGGAGAGGCAGGCGGAAUUCCUAGUGUAGCGGUGAAAUGCGUAGAUAUUAGGAGGAACACCAGUGGCGAAGGCGGCCUGCUGGACUGUUACUGACACUGAGGCACGAAAGCGUGGGGAGCAAACAGG
rnacentral:rRNA from 1 species